UAAGAAGGCAUGUGACUGUCAGAGAGUGGAGUGGAAAUGAAGAAGAGAAGAAAAUGCAAGGCAGUCCUGGCUUUGUCUUUCUCUCCAAAUACUGCUCAUUCAAGACAGAGGACUGUGUGGCCACAAAAAAAAGCCUCAUCAUGUUUCUUCCAGCCAAAUUUUGACCAUUUCUUUUCAUCCAAAGGAGACAAUCUGUAAUAACAAGGAUCAUUGCUCAGAGCAUGUCACUCCCACGAAGCAUAACUCGGAAGGGCCAGCGAUCACUGUUGGAAUCUGGAAGACUGAGAGAGGCAAUCUGUUUCCCUUUGCCCUGGAUCAGCUCUGCAGGAGACGCUCUGUGAGUGUGAGCUGGGAGCUAUCUCAGGGACUCCAGCUGCCAUUGCGAAGCUGCACUGUCCAAGCAUGUAUGCAUAGGAAAUGGCUUGCUUUUAUUUAGAGGCGUUUCUUCACGUAAUUUGGAAUUAGGAAUGGAGAAGCAAGGUACAGUGUCAACGAAAAGAGUAAAACUGUAAAACAUUUGAAGAGAUUUAUUCUGAGCCAAAUAUGAAUGACCAUGGCCUGUGACACAACCCUCAGGAGGCUCUGAGAACAUGAGCCCGAGGUGGUCAGGGCACAGCCUGGUUUUAUAUAUUUUAGGGAGGCAUGAAACGGUAAUUAAAUAAAAAAAUACAUUGGUUUGGUUCAGAAAGGCGAGACAACUCAAAGUGGGGGGCUUCCAGGACAGAGGUCGAUGUAAACAUUUUCUGGUUGACAAUUGGUUGAGUUCAUCUGAAGACCUGGGAUCAAGAGAAAGGAAAUGUUCAGGUUAAGAUAAAGGAUUGUGGAGACCAAGUUUUAUUGUGCAGAGGAAGCUCUCAGCCGACUUCAGAGAGAGCAGGUUGUAAAAUGUUUCUUAUCAGACCUAAAAGGGUGCCUGGCUCUUAGUUGAUUAUCUCCUGGACCUGGAAAGGAAGGAAGGAAGGAAAACAAAGGGGAAAGGGGAUUCUUCCCACAGGAGACUCUGCAGGGCAAUUUCUCUCUCUCUCUCUCUUUUUUUUUUUUUUUUCCUGCAGGGCAAUUUCAAGAUAUGGCAAGGAAAUAUAUAGUGAGGUUAAAUAUUUUGGUUUUUUUCCUUGUCUCAUAAUGUUAUGGCAGAAUCAGAUUGGAAAGUAAGUCACGAUAUAUAGGGGCAAAUAAAACCCAUCUGGCUGUGCGCAGUGGUUCACGCCUGUAAUCCCAGCAAUUUGGGAGGCCAAGGCGGGCAGAUCACUUCAGGUCAGGAGUUUAAGACCAGCCUGCCCAACAUGGCGAAACCCCGUCUCUACUAAAAAUACAACAAUCAGCCGGGCUUGGUGGCGUGUGACUGUAAUCCCAUUCAAUUUGGGAGGCUGGGACAGGAGAAUCACUAGACCCUGGGAGGUGGAGGUUGCAGUGAGCCGAGAUCACGCCACUGCACUCCAGUCUUGGCAACAAAGCAAGACUCCAUCUCAGGAAAAAAAAAAAAAAAAAAAGACAUCACUUUGGAGAUUCCAAGGAUUUCAGGAGUUGCAUGGCAGGAAACAGGGUUGAAGACCAAAUGUAUAUUUCAUAAUAUCACAGUCUCUCUUCAGCAACUCUGUCUGGCAGACACGCUCACUCUUCAGCGAAUUAGAAUCACCUGGUCCUCACAUAAG
rnacentral:lncRNA from 1 species